rnacentral:rRNA from 1 species
UAAUACGUAGGCAGCAAGCGUUGUUCGGAGUUACUGGGCGUAAAGGGUGCGUAGGCGGUCCUGUAAGUAUGGUGUGAAAUCUCCCGGCUUAACUGGGAGGGUGCGCUAUAGACUGCGGGACUAGAGGGUGGGAGAGGAAAGUGGAAUUCCUGGUGUAGCGGUGAAAUGCGUAGAUAUCAGGAGGAACACCGGUGGUGUAAACGGCUUUCUGGACCAUUUCUGACGCUGAGGCACGAAAGCGUGGGUAGCAAACAGGAUUAGAUACCCUGGUAGUCCACGCCCUAAACGAUGCAUAUUUGGUGUGGGUCAUUCAGUUGAUCCGUGCCGGAGCUAACGCGUUAAAUAUGCCGCCUGGGGAGUACAGUCGCAAGGCUG